UACAGAGGGUGCGAGCGUUGUUCGGAAUUACUGGGCGUAAAGCGCGCGUAGGUGGUGUGUUAAGUCUGCCGGUCAAAUGCCGAGCUUAACCUCGUUGCACGCCUGGGAUACUGGCACGCUAGAGACAAGUAGAGGCAAGCGGAAUUCCGGGUGUAGCGGUGGAAUGCGUAGAGAUCCGGAAGAACACCGGAGGCGAAGGCGGCUUGCUGGGCUUGGUCUGACGCUGAGGCGCGAAAGCGUGGGGAGCGAACAGG
rnacentral:rRNA from 1 species